ACAGGCUGUGUGCUGGGCGACAGCAGAAGUCACCUGCACCCCAGGAGCACACACACCACAGCACUGUCAGCUCAGCCUGGACACAAACCGAUGUCAUUCCCCAGCCUCGCAGUGUGGGCUGGCCAGUCCUCACGGGGGUCAGAGUUCAUCCUAGCUGCCCAAAGACCUCACCAUCGACCUGAGCAUUAGAUUUUACGGAGGGGAGUUCACUAGAGCGGGAUCACAGAGCGAGUCCUUGAACUGGGCAUCCAUGCAUUGAAAUUCACUCCUCCCUCUCCCUGUCCAACCCCUACCCUCUGCAAGAAGUCUCUACAGGUUUCUAAGCCGCUCCGCACACCUGAGACCAAGCAGAUUGCUGCAACCAAACGAACUCCGUUGCUCCUAGCAGUGAAUCCCAGAGGUGAGGCUUGAGGCAAGGAUAAGGGAGUGUGAGAAGAGGCCCUUUAUCUGGGAUGAGAAACGUAGGAUUGAAAACAGAGGGUGGUGAUUCAAUUACAUAUCAUACGUUUCCUGUCCAUUACAGACUGAUGUCAGACAGUUCAAAGAUUUUGCUUCUUAAAGCUUCGAUUUCUAUUUGUGGGCUGUUAGUGCUGAGUGAAAUAAAUAUCUUCAGAUUUGA